AACAAACGCUGGCGGCGUGCCUAACACAUGCAAGUCGUACGAGAAAUCCCGGGCAACUGGGAGAGUAAAGUGGCGCACGGGUGAGUAACGCGUGGGUAACCUGCCCUUGAAUUGGGGAUAACUCCGCGAAAGCGGGGUUAAUACCGAAUGAUAUUCCGAUUCCUCCGGGAGUUGGAAUCAAAGGUGGCCUCUGCAUGCAAGCUACUGUUCAUGGAUGGGCCCGCGUACCAUUAGCUAGUUGGUAGGGUAACGGCCUACCAAGGCAUCGAUGGUUAGCUGGUCUGAGAGGAUGGCCAGCCACACUGGAACUGAGACACGGUCCAGACUCCUACGGGAGGCAGCAGUGGGGAAUCUUGCGCAAUGGGGGAAACCCUGACGCAGCAACGCCGCGUGGGUGAUGAAGGCCUUCGGGUCGUAAAGCCCUGUCAGGUGGGAAGAACCGUAUCGGUGCAAACAGUGCCGAUGCUUGACGGUACCACCGGAGGAAGCACCGGCUAACUCCGUGCCAGCCGCCGCCGUAAUAC
rnacentral:rRNA from 1 species